rnacentral:rRNA from 1 species
ACAGCAGUAGCCGCGGUAAUACGUAGGGUGCAAGCGUUGUCCGGAAUUAUUGGGCGUAAAGAGCUCGUAGGCGGUUUGUCGCGUCGGCUGUGAAAACCUGGGGCUCAACCCCGGGCCUGCAGCCGAUACGGGCAAACUAGAAUUCGGUAGGGGAGACUGGAAUUCCUGGUGUAGCGGUGAAAUGCGCAGAUAUCAGGAGGAACACCGGUGGCGAAGGCGGGUCUCUGGGCCGAUAUUGACGCUGAGGAGCGAAAGCGUGGGGAGCGAACAGGAUUAGAUACCCCUGUAGUCCCUGUCUCUUAUAC